UACGGGGGGAGCAAGCGUUGUUCGGAUUUACUGGGCGUAAAGGGCGCGUAGGCGGCCAGCACAAGUCAGUUGUGAAAUCUCCGAGCUUAACUCGGAAAGGUCAACUGAUACUGUGCGGCUAGAGUGCGGGAGGGGCAACUGGAAUUCUUGGUGUAGCGGUGAAAUGCGUAGAUAUCAAGAGGAACACCUGCGGCGAAGGCGGGUUGCUGGGCCGACACUGACGCUGAGGCGCGAAAGCCAGGGGAGCGAACGGG
rnacentral:rRNA from 1 species